rnacentral:rRNA from 1 species
CCAAUAGCGUAUAUUAAAGUUGUUGCAGUUAAAAAGCUCGUAGUUGAAUUUCGGGAUCAGUACGCUGGUCAUGCCUUUGGUAUGCACUGGUGUCACUGGUUUCUCCCUUCUGAAGAUCCGUGAUGUCAUUAAUUUGGUGUCGCGGGGAAUCAGGACUGUUACUUUGAAAAAAUUAGAGUGUUUAAAGCAGGCUCACGCUU